rnacentral:rRNA from 1 species
GAGAGUGGGUAGUCCGCACGAGCGCACCCUGCCCUUAAUUGCCAUCGGGUUAUGCCGGGCACUUUAGGGGGACUGCCGGUGACAAGCCGGAGGAGGGUGGGGAUGACGUCAAGUCCUCAUGGCCUUUAUGACCAGGGCUACACACGUGUUACAAUGGGAGUUACAGAGGGAAGCUAAGCCGCGAGGCCAUGCCAAUCCCAGAAAAACUUUCUCAGUUCGGAUCGCAGUCUGCAACUCGACUGCGUGAAGCUGGAAUCGCUAGUAAUCGCGGAUCAGCAUGCCGCGGUGAAUACGUUCCCGGGCCUUGUACACACCGCCCGUCACACCAUGGGAGCCGACAAGGGCAGAAGUCGCCGAGCUAACCUUCGGGAAGCAGGCGCCCAAGCUGUUGUUGACGACUGGGGUGAAGUCGUAACAAGGUAGCCGUAGGAGAACCUGCGGCUGGAUCACCUCCUUUCU